rnacentral:rRNA from 1 species
UACGUAGGGUGCAAGCGUUGUCCGGAAUUAUUGGGCGUAAAGAGCUCGUAGGCGGUUUGUCGCGUCUGCUGUGAAAACUCGGGGCUUAACUCCGGGCUUGCAGUGGGUACGGGCAGACUAGAGUGCGGUAGGGGAGACUGGAAUUCCUGGUGUAGCGGUGAAAUGCGCAGAUAUCUGGAGGAACACCGGUGGCGAAGGCGGCAUCCUGGACCGGUAUUGACGCUGAUGCGCGAAAGCCAGGGGAGCAAACGGG